UUCUGCCCCUCGAGAGCGUCUCUCUGACUUCCAAACCCAGAUCCUCUGACCCUCGUUCCUGAAUUUUCUUUCAGUCCCAGGCGUUUUUCCCUGUUUCCCAUCCGAUGAUCUUACCUUCUCUUUUCUAGGCAGAUUCUUCUGUAAUUCUGUUCUCAGAAGAGGUUUCCUACUUCCUUGCCUUCAGUUUUCUGCUUGUCCCCGUGGUCUCCUGCCCUCUGUCCCCAGCACGUUUCUUUUGCCUUCUUAGUUGAAACAGGUUGGUUUCUCCCAGGCUGCGACUUGUUCUGGCGGAAACAGCGUGGGAUUUUGAGUCACGCAUAUGUGGGCUCACGUCCAAAACCCUUCAUCUAGACUUCGAUGAUCAAUUUUCCGAACUUUAGUUUCCUUUUCAGCCACGUGAAGAUGGGAAUCCUUGCAGCCCAGGACUUCUGUGGAGUCAAUGAGAUAGCAGAUAGAAAGCCUGUGGGCCAGUGCUUAGCACUUCCAGGAUGCCAGGCAUGGGGGACAGCUUCGUAGAAGCUCUCCUCUCCUCUGGAACCAAGGAGUUGUAUCUUCUCAUUUUUUCUUCCUCCCAGUGGGCACAUGCAUGGCCCAGAGAGAUGGGAACUAAGGAAGAGACCAUCCUCUGUUGUUUGCUGCCACAGUUACGUGUACCAUUUUGCUCUUCUGAUUUUCUAUUAAUCUUCACGAGGAUCUGGAUUUAACUGCCAAGCGGAAAUAUACUGCAAAACAGGAGUUGAAGGAGUGGGACUGCUUCUGCCUGUAUCACGGGAGUGGGUCACCUAUGCUGAAGGGGUCUCGGGGGUCCCUCCUCCACGUUUAUGGUAGUUAUGAAGGUACCCAUAAGAAACAAAACUUUUAAACUCAUGAAUCAUGAUGCCCACCUAUGUCACAGGAAAAGGAAAUGCAACUUUUCAGGCUGCAUUCAAGGGCUGAGCUUUUCACAAAAGUGAUGUAUUUCACAAUCUCUUCCAAGUUCAGUUUUCUUUCAUUAUUAUUAUAGCCCACUUUCUUAUAGUAGGAAAUUGGAUCUAUUAUUUAAAGUUAUUUCUAAUCACUUUCUCCACUUCUUUAUCUAGUUUGCAGCCAUGUUUUCCCAUAGGAUCUCCUCUUCCUAAGGUUAGCAGUGACUUCUAUGUUGCUAAAUUCAGUGGACAUUUUCUUCCUAUUCUAACAGCAUUCAACAGUUCCCACACCCACCUUGAAACAUUCUCUUUCCACAAAUUCUGCCCUUCUGAUUAGGCUUUUCUGGUUUCCCUGCCUUUUCUUUGGUCACUUCUUAAUGUCCUUUAUGAGCUCCCCUUUCCUUAUUGCUCGUCCUCUAAGUGUUGAAGUCCCUUAAGAUGUGGUUCUAGGUUCUCCUUAUUCUCAUCAUAUUCUCUCUCUCUCUUCUUCUGCAUCCAUUUCGACGGUGCCAAUUACUAUCUUCAUAACACCCAAUUUUGAACCACUAUCCUGGCCUCUGUGAGCUUUCACAUCUGCAUGGCCACCUGCCCUGUAGACGUUAUCAUCUUGAUGUUUCCCAGACACCUCAAAUUCACUGUGUUCAGACCUGACUUUGGACCUUCUCCACCAAACAAGGCUUUCUUCCAGCAUUCUCCAUGUCAGGGAAUAGGAUCUGUUCCUACUCCAUCCCUUGAGCCAUAAUCUUAGCAUCAGUCUUAACAUCAUCUCUUCCUUAUCCUCUGGAUAAAGUCCAACUUAACUUCUCAAAUGCCUACAGAAUCUGUCCGUCUCUCUCCAUCUCUGUCUCAGUGUAAGCCACUGUCAUGUGCUACCAGGAUUUUGGCAGGGGACCAGGACCAGCUCCCUCACAGCCACCCACUCCCCUGACAGUCAACUCUCCACACCAUAGUUAGUGAGGUCUUUUCAAGAAUGUCAAGCCAACUGUACCACCCUCUUAUUUGAAACUUGUUGGAAGUUUCUUCUUGUUUUCAGGAUAGUAUCAAACUCCUUAACAAGGCCUAGCAGGCCUGCCUAGUGAGGCCCUUGCGGACUUUCAGCCCUCACUCUUCACCACUUUCCUCUCUCCUUAUUCUCUAAGCAAGCACAUCUUUUCUGCCUGUGAAUGUGCCAUCCUUCUGUCUGCCACGGGACCCUGAACGAGCUUCUGCCUGAAUUGCUUUUUUCAUUUUUCCUUACCCACUCUAACUUCCCCAGUUUUCCUCGUUUUCUUCCAGCUAUCCACUUCUCCCUUAAGGAAGCACCCCCCGACCUCCUAGAUUCAGUUAGAUUCCCUUAUUAUCUGUUCUCAUAACAUCUUUCCUAUUGUUGGAGAGUAUUCUGCUUUAUGGAUAUUUUAUAUUUAUUUAUCUAUUCACCUGUUGAUAGACAUGUGUUUUUUCCCCCCGUUUUUGGUUGGUGUGAGUAAAACUGCUAUGUACAUUGUUAUUUAGUUUUCUGGGUCAAUAUAUCUUUUCAGUUCUCUUGGGCAAAUACCUAAAAGUAUAUUGGCUGUAGGUUGUAUGGUAAGCUUUUUGUUUAACUUUUUAAAGAAACUGCUAGUUUUCCAAGGUGGCUGUGCCAUUUUAUUUCCACCAGCAAUGUAUGAGCAUUCCAGUUGCUUCACAUCAUUGCCAGCACUUGGUAUUUGUUAGUCUUAAGUUUUAGGCAUUCUAAUUAGUGUGUGAUGGUAUCUCACUGUGGUUUUAAUUUGCAUUUCUCUGAUGACUGCUGAUGUUAAGCAUCUUUUCAAGCACUAUUGACCAUUUGCAUAUCUUCUUUUGUGAAGUAUCUGUCCAAGUCUUUUGCCCAUUCUUAAAAAAUUGUCUUAUUUGCAUAUUAUUAAAAUCUGAGGGUUCUUUAUUCUGAUCUGGGUACUAGUUAUCAGUUAGAUAUAUGUAUUAUUAAUAUUUCCUCCCAUUCUAUGACUUGUCCUUCAUUUUCUUAAUUGUCUUUUGAAAAACGAAAGUUUUGAAUUUUAAUAAAGUCUAAUUGAGAUACGUUAUCUUUUACAGUUUGUGCUUUUCUGUCUUAAGAAAUCUUUACCUAUGUAUCCAACUCCAGACUUUCCUCUCCCUUUUGAAUUGCCUUGGCACCUUUACUGGAAACGAAUGGAUCAUGUAUGAGUGAGCCUAUUUCUUGAAUUUGUUUUCUGCUCUAGUGAUCUUUAUGUCUUUCCUUUCACCAUUUCCACACAGUCUUGAUCACUGUGGUUUCAUAAUACAUCUUGAGAUCAGGUAGAGUGAGUCCUCCAACUUUGUUCUUUUCUAAAAUUGCUUUGGCUUUUCCAUACAAAUCAAUUUAACCAAAAAGUCUGCUGGAAUUUAGAUCAGAAUUGUGUUGAAUCCAUAGAUCAAUUUAGGACCAUUGACAAUAUUGAGUCUUCCAAUCUGUAAAUGUGACAUAUCUCACCAUUUAGGUGUUUAAUUUCUCUCAGCAGUACUUUCUAGUGUUCAGCAUAGAGGAUUUGUACCUCUUAAAUGGAUUCCUAAGUUUUUUGUGUGUGCUAUUGGAGAUUUAAUUGUUUUCUUAAUUUUGUUUUCUCAUGAUUUGUUGCUCUCAUAGCAUCUUUUACUAUUCGUUCCUAGCACAUCUCAGUUUAUUAUAAUAUAUUUGUUUGUGUGAGGAUUUACUUAAUGUCCAUCUCCCUUAUGAGACUAUCCAUGAAGGCAGGGAACACAGCUGCUUACCAUUAUAGCCCCAGGGCCUGGCAUACAGCCUGACAGAUAUUAGACCCUUGAUAAUUAUUUCCUGGAUGGUGUGUGGAUGCAUGAGUGGAAGAAUUGGAAUGGAGAUAAGUCAGUUUUAGAAGCUCAGAGAUAUUUGACCUCAGAUGCUUCAUUUUUACCUUCUUCUGGGAUUGUCAUAAGAAAUCCUAGCCAGUAAUCACGUGAGAGCUCUCUUGUAGAUUAAGGCUCUCUUAUUACUUUUGCUGGAAGCCAUGAGGAUCUUUCCUCAUGGUCAGUAUUGAUAAUUCAGGCUAAUAUAUCUUUAUUACAUAGAUCCUGCUUAGCAAAUAUGAGGAAGGAGGAUGUAGAUAUAAAAUAUUCAAAAGUGAGGGGAAUGUGGGAUUUCAUCAGUAGUGGCACUAACAAUAAAUAAAGAGCUUUUGUUUCA